UAGCCGGUCUGAGAGGAUGAACGGCCACAUUGGAACUGAGACACGGUCCAAACUCCUACGGGAGGCAGCAGUGGGGAAUAUUGCACAAUGGGGGGAACCCUGAUGCAGCGACGCCGCGUGAGCGAAGAAGGUUUUCGAAUCGUAAAGCUCUGUCCUAUGAGAAGAUAAUGACGGUAUCAUAGGAGGAAGCCCCGGCUAAAUACGUGCCAGCAGCCGCGGUAAUACGUAUGGGGCGAGCGUUGUCCGGAAUUAUUGGGCGUAAAGGGUACGUAGGCGGUUUUUUAAGUCAGGUGUGAAAGCGUGAGGCUUAACCUCAUUAAGCACUUGAAACUGGAAGACUUGAGUGAAGGAGAGGAAAGUGGAAUUCCUAGUGUAGCGGUGAAAUGCGUAGAUAUUAGGAGGAAUACCGGUGGCGAAGGCGACUUUCUGGACUUUUACUGACGCUCAGGUACGAAAGCGUGGGGAGCAAACAGGAUUAGAUACCCUGGUAGUCCACGCCGUAAACGAUGAGUACUAGGUGUCGGGUGAAGAACUCGGUGCCGAAGUUAACACAUUAAGUACUCCGCCUGGGGAGUACGCUCGCAAGAGUAAAACUCAAAGGAAUUGACGGGGACCCGCACAAGCAGCGGAGCAUGUGGUUUAAUUCGAAGCAACGCGAAGAACCUUACCAAGGCUUGACAUAUAGUUGAGUUAUUGAGAAAUUGAUAAGUCCCUCGGGACAACUAUACAGGUGGUGCAUGGUUGUCGUCAGCUCGUGUCGUGAGAUGUUGGGUUAAGUCCC
rnacentral:rRNA from 1 species